rnacentral:lncRNA from 1 species
CCUCCCCUUGAAGUGCUGAGGCAGCAGAGCUCGGCGAGGCCUGGGGAGGAGGGGUCCCCACGGAGCCACAAGGCAAGGGGUGGGGGGCGGAGAGGCUGAUCUGCGUGAGUGGGCAGGAUUCAGAGAUCGCAGGCAGAGCGCCCUCCUGCCCAUGACACCCCACGAGCACAACAAGACCAGUGACCCACCGUGCACAGAUGGGUUCUCUGCCCAUCACAGUUCCACACUUUCUCUCAGGAGGACAGACGACGCAUUCCCAGCAACCAACUGUCCCCAGUGUCCUGGCAGGCUCUGCACACGCCGGGAAGGAGACCUGUUGCCUUUUUCCCGGCAUCGCUGCUGGUGGAGAUUCCGUCUCCGCCAGGCUCCCGGGUGGAAGGGCUGUCUGAUCCCCGGGACGCCUCUCCUCUCCCCCGAGUGUCCCUCUGCCCACUCCUUUCCCACGGAUCUGCCCCGGGUCCCCUCUGCUGGCCUUGCGGGAUGUCUGUCCUGCAUUGGGCCUCUGCGGGCUCUCCACGAACACUCGGUGGAUACAAACACGGACGGUGAAUUUCAAGGGGGGCAGGAUCCUUAGGUAUCCCCAGGCCACGAUGUGGGAAGAAAUUCCUCCCCCAACCCCAGGAGCCUUGUCUGUCCUCCCGCCUCCUCCAACACCAAUAAGCUUCUGUGUAGAAACACGCCUUCAAAGUGUACACACAGCGACACUCAUGGGCUUUGCGCCCUGUGAGUUUUCAUUUCACAACACAUGCUGGGCCGCAGUUUAUACAGGCUCCUGCCUUCAAAACUAAUUCUUAGCAUUCCAUUGCAGGAAUACAGAAAUUCCUUUAAGCAGUCUUUGUGGACAAAAAGUUGUGUACAAAAUCCGGCUCUUGCAAACAAGUCUACAAUGUGUAAUGAAAAAUAGCCAAGCCUUCUAAAAUGCUAACUAGGUGACAAAGCCAUUAGAUUCAUCCAGUCCUUCCCGCCAGGCUCUAAGGUAAAUGCGUGCAGUCACACCUGAUGUCCAGAGGGAGAUGGAGACUCGAGGGACUGUAGCUUGUCCAAAGUCAAGCUUGGACGUGGAUCCCGCGGGCGCUGCCCCACUGCAGCAUCACACAGACAGCGUCUCACACACACACACACGCAGCUCCUGAGCGUGUCUGUGCACCAAGUCCAUAGACGUGGAAGAGCUAACACGGAGGCAAGGUCCUUGCUAAGCUUCGCUGAUGUUGCUCCUGUCUGUAACGCAGGCUCCUCAGGGCUGCUGGAGCAAGGCUGGUGGGUGUGAUGCCAAGACCCUGUGACUCUGUCACGUGGACGAUACUCAUGAAGCUGAACACCUUUUCCAAUGGAAAAGCCACUUGCACCUUCCCUGGAAUAGCUUCCCAUACCCUUCCCAGGUGUAGCUAACAACUGUCACACUUAAUGUGCUGGUAGGUCACCGUCUGCCUGCUCCUGCUUGGCUCUAACGGGUCUGUUCCUUGUUUGUUUAUUACCGCAACACUGAAACAAGGCAUGCGCUACAAUUCCCAUCUUUUGAAGGUAGUUUUGACCAGGGAAGAUUUAUUCAUUCAACUUGUAUACUAUCUGUGUUUAAAUUUAACACCACUUUCAAGACUGGAAUGCCUUCUUCACUAUGCUUCGGCAACUGUCUGUUAAUUCCCACCCAUGAAUUCUACAUUGGAUUUAAGUUGUGCAUGAAAGCCACCCAUGCGAUAAGGGCUAACAUGAUUUUUAUUCUAGUCAAAUGAGAACAUAUCCACGAGGCAAAAGAAAAUGAUACAAGAGAGGACAGUUGUACUUCCUCCCCCAAAGAAAAAAUACAUAAAUCUCCAGUGGCCAUUCUAGAAACUUCUCUGGGAUGCGGCUACUUGAAAAUCCCCUUCUAGGCGUGAGAAGGAAGUGGGACGUCACUCAGCUUUCCUUCUUCAGCACCCACUACACAGGCUUAGGCUCCUACAUCGAGCUGCAAUGUCCAUUGUCUGGCAGGAAAUUUUAAAGCUCAGCAUAUUACUUCUUCAUGAAAGCAUAAAUUCCACUAACUCCUUAUAGAGGGGACUGUUGACAUUAGCAGACUCAGAGGUUUAAUGAUAAAACCUCUUCCAUGGAAGAUGUUGCCAGUUAUUUAAGCAGAAUGUGUCUCUCCAAACACACAGACGAUGGUAGAGCUUUAUAAAUAAAAUGGUGAACAAAUGUUGAGACCCAAGGAGAGGGUGUGAACUGUUGUUAGGGAGGAAAUAUGAAGGUUAAACAGGUCUGCGUUUAGCUUGACCAGCGCCACACAGGGCCCCAGCGAGGCCUCGGGAUGCACGUGUCUCACCCGUCGCGGACUUUCACUCUCCCGCGGGUGUGUGCAGCCCCUGACGGGAGAGGGGCGCCCCCAGCACCCCGGGGUGCGGCAGANNNNNNNNNNNNNNNNNNNNNNNNNNNNNNNNNNNNNNNNNNNNNNNNNNNNNNNNNNNNNNNNNNNNNNNNNNNNNNNNNNNNNNNNNNNNNNNNNNNUGACGGGAGAGGGGCGCCCCCAGCACCCCGGGGUGCGGCAGACGCGGACCCCGAGCGCGUGGAGGGCACAGCCAUGUAGUACGUGCUGCACCCGCUCUGGGGGCGCUUCUGCUCUUGGGGUGUUUCUGGAAUUUUAUAACGUGCAGUCUGAUGUUCAGAACUCCUGGGGCGGGGAGCCCCUGGGUCCCUUCCGCCCGCUGCCCCUGCAGAUGGCUCCGGGCGGCCCUGUGAGGUCGGGGCUCCCUGGGCACCUCUGGCUUCGGAGGCUUCCCGGGUUCAGCGCGGGGGAAAUGGGAGGCAGGGCAUCCCGACUCUGCAGCUUGGUGUGGAAAAGCAUGCCACCCUGAAGUGCUCACAGGCCUGCAGGAGGUCAGGAGGCGCGCGAGGUCACGGCCGCGGGUCAGGAGCCGACCUCGCUCCUGGCAGCGGGACGGCCGUGGAGCCCGGGCACGCUCCCUGGGUGACCCUGGGCCUGCAGGGGGACUCGGGGCCCCCGUCAUCCCCACCCGCGUGGCCUCGCCUGCUCCCCACUCCGGCUCCAAGCAAAUGCCCAUGACCAGAGGCGGCUCCUCUCUGCUGGGAGGAGAGGACUGUCAGAUCAGACGCUCCCGUUGCAGUCCGGGGUGGGGGAGCGAUUAGUCACUUCGCCGCUGCUUUUCAAGACAGUGGUGGCCCUGGACUCUGAGACAAGUCACGAGAAAGCAGAGUUCCACCAUCACCCACAUUUCAGAAAAAAAACAAAGCCCUUUUCUUUCUUUUUCACUAUCUGUAGUACCUUAUAACAUCACGCUUAAUAAAUAUUUUUAUAAUGGCAGAUAUAAAAGGUAUAAAGAUGAUUUAAGCAAUACUGACGAACCACUAUGAAAAUGAUCAAAAAGCAUUAUGUGGUGAAUUAGGGAUGAUCUUGAGACGAAUCACAACGGGAAAUUAUUGGGCUGUCUUCUGGGAAGGGUGCACAAAAGCGGUGAACUCUGAGUGUUGUUAACAGCAUCGCCCCCUUAGCGGCAACCUAGCAGUUUUACAAAUUCUUGGUGUGCAAGCUCGUAUACACACAACACAUGCGCACACAGGUCGUAUCUGUUGUGAGUACAUGUGGAGUAGACACAAGGGUAGUCACGUGUGAUGUUUGCACAGGGCUUCAGGGACAUGGUGUAAAGGCUAGUCCCAGCUCUUAAGUCAGGAGCCUAAUCGCCCACCUAAGCUUGAAUCCCAUCUGUGCCAUUUUCUGUGCAAUGCUGGGCCUUUUAUUUAAUUUCUCUAUACAUAUGUUUCCUCUGAUAGAAGUUAUGGAUAGAUGGAAGAGGAACACAAGGUGUUUCGAGGACUGAGUGGGAUGUGGUGAGAGGUACUCUGAGAGCAGAGCUUGGUACUUUUGUUCAGCUGCUCAGUCAUGUUCAGCUCUUUGCAGCCCCACGGACUGCAGUGCACUAGGCCUCUCUGCCCUUCUUAUCUCUCUGUUUGCUCACACUCACGUCCAUCGAGUCAGUGAUGCCACCCAACCACCUCAUCCUCUGUCGUCCCCUUCUCUUCCUGCCUUCAGUCUUUCCCAGCAU